rnacentral:snoRNA from 1 species
UCCUGGUGCUUACACAGGCUACGUUCUGACACUGACUAAAUAGAAAGAAAAAGGAAAGUAAACCUGCCCCCUAUACACCUCAGCCCAUGCCCUGUACUUGGUCUGCAUUGUGAAUGGGGAGACACGG